rnacentral:rRNA from 1 species
UGACGUACUUGUACUGAUUGAGAUUUUAACACGAAGUGAGUGGCGAACGGGUGAGUAACACGUGGGUAACCUGCCCAGAAGUAGGGGAUAACACCUGGAAACAGAUGCUAAUACCGUAUAACAGAGAAAACCGCAUGGUUUUCUUUUAAAAGAUGGCUCUGCUAUCACUUCUGGAUGGACCCGCGGCGUAUUAGCUAGUUGGUGAGGUAAAGGCUCACCAAGGCAGUGAUACGUAGCCGACCUGAGAGGGUAAUCGGCCACAUUGGGACUGAGACACGGCCCAGACUCCUACGGGAGGCAGCAGUAGGGAAUCUUCCACAAUGGACGCAAGUCUGAUGGAGCAACGCCGCGUGAGUGAAGAAGGGUUUCGGCUCGUAAAGCUCUGUUGUUAAAGAAGAACGUGGGUAAGAGUAACUGUUUACCCAGUGACGGUAUUUAACCAGAAAGCCACGGCUAACUACGUGCCAGCAGCCGCGGUAAUACGUAGGUGGCAAGCGUUAUCCGGAUUUAUUGGGCGUAAAGCGAGCGCAGGCGGUCUUUUAAGUCUAAUGUGAAAGCCUUCGGCUCAACCGAAGAAGUGCAUUGGAAACUGGGAGACUUGAGUGCAGAAGAGGACAGUGGAACUCCAUGUGUAGCGGUGAAAUGCGUAGAUAUAUGGAAGAACACCAGUGGCGAAGGCGGCUGUCUGGUCUGCAACUGACGCUGAGGCUCGAAAGCAUGGGUAGCGAACAGGAUUAGAUACCCUGGUAGUCCAUGCCGUAAACGAUGAUUACUAAGUGUUGGAGGGUUUCCGCCCUUCAGUGCUGCAGCUAACGCAUUAAGUAAUCCGCCUGGGGAGUACGACCGCAAGGUUGAAACUCAAAAGAAUUGACGGGGGCCCGCACAAGCGGUGGAGCAUGUGGUUUAAUUCGAAGCUACGCGAAGAACCUUACCAGGUCUUGACAUCUUCUGACAGUCUAAGAGAUUAGAGGUUCCCUUCGGGGACAGAAUGACAGGUGGUGCAUGGUUGUCGUCAGCUCGUGUCGUGAGAUGUUGGGUUAAGUCCCGCAACGAGCGCAACCCUUAUUACUAGUUGCCAGCAUUAAGUUGGGCACUCUAGUGAGACUGCCGGUGACAAACCGGAGGAAGGUGGGGACGACGUCAAAUCAUCAUGCCCCUUAUGACCUGGGCUACACACGUGCUACAAUGGAUGGUACAACGAGUCGCGAGACCGCGAGGUUAAGCUAAUCUCUUAAAACCAUUCUCAGUUCGGACUGUAGGCUGCAACUCGCCUACACGAAGUCGGAAUCGCUAGUAAUCGCGGAUCAGCAUGCCGCGGUGAAUACGUUCCCGGGCCUUGUACACACCGCCCGUCACACCAUGAGAGUUUGUAACACCCAAAGCCG